GAUGAACGCUGGCGGCGUGCCUAAUACAUGCAAGUCGAGCGAACGGACGAGAAGCUUGCUUCUCUGAUGUUAGCGGCGGACGGGUGAGUAACACGUGGAUAACCUACCUAUAAGACUGGGAUAACUUCGGGAAACCGGAGCUAAUACCGGAUAAUAUUUUGAACCGCAUGGUUCAAAAGUGAAAGACGGUCUUGCUGUCACUUAUAGAUGGAUCCGCGCUGCAUUAGCUAGUUGGUAAGGUAACGGCUUACCAAGGCAACGAUGCAUAGCCGACCUGAGAGGGUGAUCGGCCACACUGGAACUGAGACAAGGUCCAGACUCCUAAGGGAGGCAGCAGUAGGGAAUCUUCCGCAAUGGGCGAAAGCCUGACGGAGCAAAGCCGCGUGAGUGAUGAAGGUCUUCGGAUCGUAAAACUCUGUUAUUAGGGAAGAACAUAUGUGUAAGUAACUGUGCACAUCUUGACGGUACCUAAUCAGAAAGCCACGGCUAACUACGUG
rnacentral:rRNA from 1 species